UUGUGCAACUAUUUUUUUCCAAGCCCGUAUCUGCAUGUUUAGUAGGAAGCAAUAUUUUAAACCAGUCUUCCACCACCCUCUGAAAGUGGGGCCAAAGCAAUGCAUGCUCUUAAGUGCAGGGAAGUCACAUCAGCAUCCCAGCAAUGCCACCAAACCCUAAGGUAGAUAAUAUUGAAAGCAAUGGCAAAAACCGCAAUUACGUUUGCACCAACCUAAUACUUGAGUCUUAGAAAUGGUUGGUUCUACCAUCAUAGUACAAAUAUCAUAGGGGUUAAUGGCCUUGCCAAAGAAGGUUGUGGGUUAUCAUCCAAUGAAAUCAGGCCAUUUUCCACUCAAAAUCUCAUUUUCUAUACUUGGCAAAUCAUACUCCCGUUAGUUUAUUCUUACACCUCACAUAAUCAUCAGAAGUUGAAUGCAUGUGAAAUUGCGUGAAGCACAAAUAAUUUAUUAAAAGAAACAGCUUAAACAGUCCUACUUAACUCCUGGUCAACGAAUGCAGGAGGCACUGAAGUAAAGAAGGCUUGCUAAACAGACGAAGGUGAAAUUGUGGUAAUAAACUCUCUUUCAACUCCGUCUGGAGUUCAUAUUCCUCUUUGGCAUUCCCUGAAGCUGAAUGACUGAGGAACUUCCUUCCUCUACUUUUCAUGUUUUCUUCUGAGGGCAAGUUGCACGCAUAAGAAAACUUCAGUGUCAGCUACCGCGCUACAUGGGAGGUCUCUGGGAUUAACCUCCCCGACUCUUCUGAGACCAAACUGGGUAAACCAGCACGAUCAUUUGACCAUGAUGACAAAAGGACUCUACCCAGCCUCCUUGGCAACUCUCUUUGAAUCAGUAAAGGAAUUAGAUUAUCUCCAGAAGCAAAGGAAAUGUAAAGAAAUGGACAGGUUACUUUCAGGAUUAAUUCCAGCUGAUCUUUCCGUUUGCUAAUUCACUAAGGAGAGGCUAAGCACCAGUAUUUUCCAUCUUCAUCACCUGCAGGUUGAUCCAUCAUUUGUUAUUCUUAUUACAAAAGGGCAUAUAUAAAAUUCAACUUAGUAAAAUAAUUUGGCAUUUGUUAUAAGACUAUUUCCUUGUCUAUGCCUUAGAAGAUCCUGGAACACAUGAGAGAUUUGUCAACUCGUUCAACUAACAUCGAUCAAGCUCCUACAAGACACCAGGCCACGUAUCGGGGAUAGAAAAUAGAAAGACAAAAUCUCUGUCCUAAAUAUACUAGGAUAAUAGGAUAAGGGGAAUGGGAGAAAAUUAAGGAGCCAAUUUUCCCGCAAUACAGUUAUUGCUACGAUAGGGAUUUGCAAAGCUGUCCUAUGGGAACAUACGGAGAGACACCUCACCUGGAUUCCGAAGGUGACAGAGAGGGUGGGAAGAGUGCAGAGAGGAAUUCUAGGAGUACGUGACACUUGUUCUAAUUCUUAGCAUAUGAGUAGUGAUUAGCUAGCUUGAGAAUAGGUGGGAUAGGGGCCUAAAUUCUAACAUAAUGCAUGUUUGUGGGCCUGGAGGGUACAAAGGGCACAGAACUGCAAAUACUUUGUUAUGUCUGGACCAAGACAGGAGGCUGGGAAGGCAGGCUGGGAUUCAAUCCAGAGAAACAAAUAAGAAUGGAGUCUCAUGCCCAUGAGUCUAGUAACCAACCCCAGUGAGAGGACCCACUUGAUCACUCAACUCGGCACCCAAUUUCUAGUCAGAGUGACUGGGUACAAAACAGAGGUCACGUGCAUGCUGCCAGAGAUUACCACCAUGUUCACCAGUUCCAGAACGAACCAGCUACAAAAGACAAAAUUGUUACUAUUUGAUGAAGAAACGGAAAAUUUUCACAGAACGUGGUGUUCUCUAUUUGGCUAUCACAGGGUAUCUGGUGAAACGUUUCUUGCUAGAAAAAGAUAUAAACAUAACCACAGGCUGAGAAACAGGCCCCUGGGUCAGACUAUGGGCCCCUGGGUCAGACUAUGAGCCACUGAGGCAGGGGGGGUUCUAUCUCUGAGAAAAGGGAACCAGCAUGAUUUUGUGUGACAGUAUGACAGUGUCCCAUCGUUAGUUUCAGGGUUAUAUUCAGCUAUUAAGGAUCUGGUUCCAUUUUUUUAAGUUCACAUAGUGAUUUACGUUUUCAACGAGACUAACUUAAAGUUCCAUAAAUAAUUAAAACAUAUAUAGUCUAACACACAAACCUUUCUUCAUAUAUCAUAGACUACUUUGUCCAUAAGGAUAUUUCUUUUCUUUUCUUUUUUUUUUGAGACAGG
rnacentral:lncRNA from 1 species